rnacentral:rRNA from 1 species
UCCGCUAGUGAACUGCAGAGGGAUCAUU